GGUUUGAUUAUGGCUCAGAUUGAACGCUGGCGGGAUGUUUACACAUGCAAGUCGAACGGCAGCACGGACUUCGGUCUGGUGGCGAGUGGCGAACGGCAGUGAAUGUAUCGGAACGUGCCUAGUAGCGGGGAUAACUACGCGAAAGGUAGCUAAUACCGCAUACGCCCUUCGGGGGAAAGCGGGGACCUUUCGGGCCUCGCACUAUUAGAGCGGCCGAUAUCGGAUUAGCUAGUUGGUGGGGUAACGGCUCACCAAGGCGACGAUCCGUAGCUGGUUUGAGAGGACGACCAGCCACACUGGGACUGAGACACGGCCCAGACUCCUACGGGAGGCAGCGGUGGGGAAUUUUGGACAAUGGGGGAAACCCUGAUCCAGCCAUCCCGCGUGCGAUGAAGGCCUUCGGGUUGUAAAGCACUUUUGGCAGGAAAGAAACGGCACGGGAUAAUACCCCGUGCAACUGACGGUACCUGCAGAAUAAGCACGCUAACUACGCCAGCAGCCGCGGUAAUACGUAGUGCAAGCGUUAAUCGGAAUUACUGGGCGUAAAGUGUGCGCAGGCGGUUCGGAAAGAAAGAUGUGGAAUCCCAGAGCUUAACUUUGGAACUGCAUUUUUAACUACCGAGCCAGGAGGCAAGUCAGAGGGAGGUGGAAUUCCGCGUGUAGCAGUGAAAUGCGUAGAUAUGCGGAGGAACACCGAUGGCGAAGGCAGCCUCCUGGGAUAACACUGACGCUCAUGCACGAAAGCGUGGGGAGCAAACAGGAUUAGAUACUCCCGGUAGUCCACGCCCUAAACGAUGUCAACUAGCUGUUGGGGCCUUCGGGCCUUGGUAGCGCAGCUAACGCGUGAAGUUGACCGCCUGGGGAGUACGGUCGCAAAGAUUAAAACUCAAAGGAAUUGACGGGGACUCGCACAAGCGGUGGAUGAUGUGGAUUAAUUCGAUGCAACGCGAAAAACCUGCCUACCCUUGACAUGUCUGGAAUCCCGAAGAGAUUUGGGAGUGCUCGCAAGAGAACCGGAACACAGGUGGUGCUGCAUGGCUGUCGUCAGCUGUGUCGUGAGAUGUUGGGUUAAGUCCCGCAACGAGCGCAACCCUUGUCAUUAGUUGCUACGAAAGGGCACUCUAAUGAGACUGCCGGUGACAAACCGGAGGAAGGUGGGGAUGACGUCAAGUCCUCAUGGCCCUUAUGGGCAGGGCUUCACACGUCAUGGCAAUGGUCGGGACAGAGGGUCGCCAACCCGCGAGGGGGAGCCAAUCCCAGAAACCCGAUCGUAGUCCGGAUCGCAGUCUGCAACUCGACUGCGUGAAGUCGGAAUCGCUAGUAAUCGCGGAUCAGCAUGUCGCGGUGAAUACGUUCCCGGGUCAUGUACACACCGCCCGCCUACACCAUGGGAGUGGGUUUACCAGAAGUAGUUAGCCUAACCGUAAGGAGGGCGAUUACCACGGUAGGAUUCAUGAUCGGGGUGAAGUCGUAACAAGGUAA
rnacentral:rRNA from 1 species